UACGUAGGGGGCGAGCGUUGUCCGGAUUCAUUGGGCGUAAAGCGCGCGUAGGCGGCCCCGCAAGUCGGCCGUGAAAUCUCCGGGCUCAACUCGGAGGGGUCGGGCGAGACUGCGGGGCUCGAGGUGGGUAGAGGGCGGUGGAAUUCCGGGUGUAGUGGUGGAAUGCGUAGAGAUCCGGAGGAACACCAGUGGCGAAGGCGGCCGCCUGGGCCUGGCCUGACGCUGAGGCGCGAAAGCGUGGGGAGCGAUCCGG
rnacentral:rRNA from 1 species